UUUGGAUUCCGACCCCUCGUC
rnacentral:miRNA from 1 species